rnacentral:rRNA from 1 species
UACGUAGGGUGCGAGCGUUAAUCGGAAUUACUGGGCGUAAAGUGUGCGCAGGCGGCCGAGCAAGUCGAGUGUGAAAGCCCCGAGCUUAACUUGGGAACUGCGCUCGAAACUACUUGGCUAGAGUGUGGCAGAGGGAGGUGGAAUUCCACGUGUAGCGGUGAAAUGCGUAGAGAUGUGGAGGAACACCGAUGGCGAAGUCAGCCUCCUGGGCCAACACUGACGCUCAUGCACGAAAGCGUGGGGAGCAAACAGG